rfam:Triticum aestivum genome assembly, contig: Triticum_aestivum_CS42_TGACv1_scaffold_556990_7AL
AUAUCUUUCUCGGCUUUUUGGCUAAGAUCAAGUGUAGUAUCUGUUCUUAUCAGUUUAAUAUUUGAUAUGUGAAUCAUGUGCCCACAAUAAUAUUAAAUUUAUUUUUUAUGGGAGAGAGACCACCACAAUGGCUUGCCAUUUGGUCCCUCAGGUGUUGCCCAUCAACUUAAAAUUU